GUGCUCAUUUCAGCAGCAUACAUACUAAAAUUGGAAAGUUACAGAGAUUAGCCUGGCUCCUACACAAAGAUGACACGUUGAUGACAUAGCUGCAUUACUUAAAA
ensembl:snRNA U6 U6 spliceosomal RNA